rnacentral:rRNA from 1 species
AGUGAACGCUGGCGGCGUGCCUAAUACAUGCAAGUCGAACGAAGUGGCGCACGGGUGAGUAAUAUAUAGUUAAUCUGCCCUACACCGAGGAACACCAGUUGGAAACGACUGCUAAUACCUCAUAGUGUAGGAUGAGACUAUAUCGUAUCAGCUAGUUGGUAAGGUAAUGUCGUACCAAGGCUAUGACGCGUAACUGGUCUGCGAGGAUGAUCAGUAACAUUGGAACGGAGACACCGUCCAAACUCCUACGGGAGGGAGCAGUAGGGAGUAUUGCGCAAUGGGGGAGACCCUGACGCAGCAACGCCGCGUAGAGGUUGACACUUUUCGGAGCGUAAGCUCCUUAGAUCAGGAAAGCGGUACCUGAUGAAUAAGCACCGGCUAACUCCGUGCCAGCAGCCGCGGUAAUUC